GACUCCGACUUCAUGGGGUCGAGUUGCAGACCCCAAUCCGAACUGAGACCGGCUUUUUGGGAUUCGCUCCACCUUACGGUAUCGCAGCCCUCUGUACCGGCCAUUGUAGCAUGCGUGAAGCCCAAGACAUAAGGGGCAUGAUGAUUUGACGUCAUCCCCACCUUCCUCCGAGUUGACCCCGGCAGUCUCCCAUGAGUCCCCGGCAUAACCCGCUGGCAACAUAGGACGAGGGUUGCGCUCGUUGCGGGACUUAACCCAACAUCUCACGACACGAGCUGACGACAACCAUGCACCACCUGUGUACGAGUGUCCAAAGAGAACCCCGUCUCGGGGGCUUUCUCGUACAUGUCAAGCCUUGGUAAGGUUCUUCGCGUUGCAUCGAAUUAAUCCGCAUGCUCCGCCGCUUGUGCGGGCCCCCGUCAAUUCCUUUGAGUUUUAGCCUUGCGGCCGUACUCCCCAGGCAGGGCACUUAAUGCGUUAGCUGCGGCACGGAACUCGUGGAAUGAGCCCCACACCUAGUGCCCAACGUUUACGGCAUGGACUACCAGGGUAUCUAAUCCUGUUCGCUCCCCAUGCUUUCGCUCCUCAGCGUCAGUUGCGGCCCAGAGACCUGCCUUCGCCAUCGGUGUUCCUCCUGAUAUCUGCGCAUUCCACCGCUACACCAGGAAUUCCAGUCUCCCCUACCGCACUCUAGUCUGCCCGUACCCGAUGCAAGCCCGAGGUUGAGCCUCGGGAUUUCACACCAGACGCGACAGACCGCCUACGAGCUCUUUACGCCCAAUAAUUCCGGACAACGCUUGCGCCCUACGUAUUACCGCGGCUGCUGGCACGUAGUUAGCCGGCGCUUCUUCUGCAGGUACCGUCACUUGCGCUUCUUCCCUGCUGAAAGAGGUUUACAACCCGAAGGCCGUCAUCCCUCACGCGGCGUCGCUGCAUCAGGCUUGCGCCCAUUGUGCAAUAUUCCCCACUGCUGCCUCCCGUAGGAGUCUGGGCCGUGUCUCAGUCCCAGUGUGGCCGGUCGCCCUCUCAGGCCGGCUACCCGUCGACGCCUUGGUAGGCCAUCACCCCACCAACAAGCUGAUAGGCCGCGAGCCCAUCCCCCACCGAAAGACUUUCCAACCCACACCAUGCGAUGCGAGCUCAUAUCCGGUAUUAGACCCCGUUUCCAAGGCUUAUCCCGAAGUGGAGGGCAGGUUGCUCACGUGUUACUCACCCGUUCGCCACUGAUCCACCCAGCAAGCUGGGCUUCACCG
rnacentral:rRNA from 1 species